AGAGUUUGAUCCUGGCUCAGGAUGAACGCUGGCGGCGUGCUUAACACAUGCAAGUCGAACGAUCCUUCGGGAUAGUGGCGGACGGGUGAGUAACGCGUGGGAAUCUGCCCUCAGGAGGGGGAUAACGGCUGGAAACGGCCGCUAAUACCCCAUAUGCCGAGAGGUGAAAUGAAUUUCGCCUGAGGAUGAGCCCGCGUCUGAUUAGCUAGUUGGUGGGGUAAAGGCCUACCAAGGCAACGAUCAGUAGCUGGUCUGAGAGGAUGAUCAGCCACACUGGGACUGAGACACGGCCCAGACUCCUACGGGAGGCAGCAGUGGGGAAUUUUCCGCAAUGGGCGAAAGCCUGACGGAGCAACGCCGCGUGAGGGAUGAAGGCCUCUGGGCUGUAAACCUCUUUUCUCAAGGAAGAAGACCUGACGGUACUUGAGGAAUAAGCCACGGCUAAUUCCGUGCCAGCAGCCGCGGUAAUACGGGAGUGGCAAGCGUUAUCCGGAAUUAUUGGGCGUAAAGCGUCCGCAGGCGGCCUUGUAAGUCUGUUGUUAAAGCGUGGAGCUCAACUCCAUUUAAGCAAUGGAAACUACAAGGCUGGAGUGUGGUAGGGGCAGAGGGAAUUCCCGGUGUAGCGGUGAAAUGCGUAGAUAUCGGGAAGAACACCAGUGGCGAAGGCGCUCUGCUGGGCCAUAACUGACGCUCAUGGACGAAAGCCAGGGGAGCGAAAGGGAUUAGAUACCCCUGUAGUCCUGGCCGUAAACGAUGAACACUAGGUGUCGGGGGAAUCGACCCCCUCGGUGUCGUAGCCAACGCGUUAAGUGUUCCGCCUGGGGAGUACGCACGCAAGUGUGAAACUCAAAGGAAUUGACGGGGGCCCGCACAAGCGGUGGAGUAUGUGGUUUAAUUCGAUGCAACGCGAAGAACCUUACCAGGGUUUGACAUCCUGCGAACCCCUGAGAAAUCGGGGGGUGCCUUCGGGAGCGCAGAGACAGGUGGUGCAUGGCUGUCGUCAGCUCGUGUCGUGAGAUGUUGGGUUAAGUCCCGCAACGAGCGCAACCCACGUCUUUAGUUGCCAGCAUUCAGUUGGGCACUCUAGAGAGACCGCCGGUGAUAAACCGGAGGAAGGUGUGGAUGACGUCAAGUCAUCAUGCCCCUUACAUCCUGGGCUACACACGUACUACAAUGCUACGGACAAAGGGCAGCAAGCUCGCGAGAGUAGCAAAUCCCAUAAACCGUGGCUCAGUUCAGAUCGUAGGCUGCAACUCGCCUACGUGAAGGAGGAAUCGCUAGUAAUCGCAGGUCAGCAUACUGCGGUGAAUACGUUCCCGGGCCUUGUACACACCGCCCGUCACACCAUGGAAGUUGGCCAUGCCCGAAGUCGUUACUCCAACCCUUGUGGAGGAGGACGCCGAAGGUGGGGCUGAUGACUGGGGUGAAGUCGUAACAAGGUA
rnacentral:rRNA from 1 species